CCUACGGGGGGCAGCAGUGAGGAAUAUUGGUCAAUGGACGCAAGUCUGAACCAGCCAUGCCGCGUGCAGGAAGACGGCCCUAUGAGUUGUAAACUGCUUUUGUACGAGGGUAAACGCAGAUACGCGUACCUUUCUGAAAGUACCGUAUGAAUAAGGAUCGGCUAACUCCGUGCCAGCAGCCGCGGUAAUACGGAGGAUUCAAGCGUUAUCCGGAUUUAUUGGGUUUAAAGGGUGCGUAGGUGGUCGGAUAAGUUAGAGGUGAAAUCCUGAGGCUCAACUUCGGAAUUGCCUUUGAUACUGGUCGUCUAGAGAGUAGUUGAGGUAGGCGGAAUGUAUGGUGUAGCGGUGAAAUGCUUAGAGAUCAUGCAGAACACCGAUUGCGAAGGCAGCUUACCAAGCUACUUCUGACAUUGAGGCACGAAAGUGUGGGGAGCAAACAGGAUUAGAUACCCUUGUAGUC
rnacentral:rRNA from 1 species